GUAUCCCUAGACUUAAGAUCAAGUGAGCUGAACCACUCUGCUCCAUGCAAGGACUCCAGGAUGUCAUGAACCAAAGACAUCGGGUAUGCAUUCAGUGGUGUUUUGGCAUUCAGACCUCCAAAAUCCACACAAAACCAAGGGGACCCAUCUGCUUGAGCAGCCAGGACCACUAGAGCCCCCCAGGGAGACUGACAAGGUUUGAUAAAGUCAUCCUCCAACAUUUUGUCAAAAUGUUCCUUAAUAAUUUGCUUCUUCUGCAGCGAGACCUGAUAAGCUCGGGACUGCACAGGAAGAUUAUCAAUGGUAGAAAUGGAAUGUUUUAUGACCCUGGUUCUGCCAAACUUUUCUGAGGCCACUGAGGGCCAUCUCUGUAACAGCACCCCCACUUCGUCAGGCAUGUUUGGUCCUAUGUCUUGAGGGGUCAGGUCUCAGUUCCCUUGACUGAUGCUGCAGUGCCAGAGGUCAAGUUUUGUGUGAAGGCAACAUGACUUUUGCGGCCUUGCAAAGACAGGUUGAGGCAGCAGCAGCGAUCAAAUGUAAACAUUUUGUCUGAUCAAAACAGCCCCUACAUCCCGUUCCUUGUGGUCAGCGUUUCCUCCAUUUGCAUUGUGUGAAAAAAUUUUAUUUUAGCGCAGUUUCUGGUAGGCUGGCUCAGUUGUUUACUCCUGGUCUUCUUCCACCGGGACAUGGACCAGUUCAUAGUUAGUCACAGCCUGUCUGGACAUGUGGUCUGGACUUGGUACCAAGUUCAGAGAUGCACUUGAUGUGUAAACGGAAAUAAUAUUGGUGGAUUAUUAAACGGUUGGAGCUGGAUGACUGAUAAUGCUGGCUGUGUUUGGACACCAGAGUGAAAGUAAGAAAUAUUUCCUGAAGGUUUGAUCAGUUGUGUCUCUGCUCGGAUGUGUGGUGGACUGGAAUUAAGACAUUUUAUAUUUUUUGAUGUUCCCUCCGUUAUUUUAUGUCAGAUCUCUGUUAAAUAGUGGUGUGGUGUGGAAUGUCUGUGUGGAUGAGAGGAGACAGGUGUGUUAAUGAGGGAGACUCUGGUGAUGAAGUUUAUACAGUUAAUACCGAUGUUUACAUGAGAUUCCUGCUCCGUGUGCGUGCGCGCGUGUGCACACACACACACUGACUUAUCAUCACCAGUGGGUCCAGUUGGUCGUUUGGAGACUCAUCAUUCGAGCAUCACUGCCAGACCCUCCAGCAUCACUAGCGUCGACGCCAGACUUCACAGCACAAUCACCGGCUUCUUCCAUUUCAUCAGAUUCUACUAUUAUUCUCCCAACCACAAAGAAAAGGAAGAGGGCCAUGAAAGACCUGCAUCGCCAUGAAGCAAGACAGGAACACUACUAUGAUCUUCAGGCCAAUACUGGCUAUCUUGCAUGGAGACUCAAGACAGUACAACGCAACACCCAUGAUGGCUUCCGUGAGUGUUUCAGGCCUGAUUUCCAGGACAGUCUGACAACCCAACGAGAAUCUCUGUUAACUGGUGAUCAGCUCCUUGGUGAGGAGUGCAGGGAGGCUCUCUCCAUAAUGAGACACUCAACGGACAGAUCUGUGGUUAAAGAGAAGAUGAGAGUUACCUUUGACUACAGACAGAAGCUAGUUCAUGACCAGGAUGCAACAGCUUCAGUGCUGGAUGUCUUUCCUUGUUUUCUUGAUACAGCUGGACUCAUAGGAAUAUGUAGAGAUUAUUAUUUUUGUUGUAAAUUAUUUGAAAACUGACUCCUUCUAAUGCAAAGUGCAUUUUAGUAAGCUGUAUGUGGACAUUGUGCCUUUGUUUAAAGAUUGAACAGGAUUUUUCCAUGAUGUUCGGGGACCAUGUGUCUGGAAGGUUUCUUGCGAGAUGGUCUUCAGAUUUCAAGCAGAGAGUCAUCACAAAAUGCCGGAGUCUUCCAUCAAAUCCUUAUGUUGAUGAGCUGCCGGCUGCUUCUGAUCUUGAGGUUGAGAAUGACUAUGUCUGUCUCAAAUAUUUGUCUUCAAGGCUGCGAUAGUGAUAUGUCAGCUCACCUGUUGCUGUUGCAUCUCCUGCCCGCUACAUCAAAAGACCAGAAUAAAACUCCCAAGAUGAGUUCAGCACAGGCAGCCAAUCAUGUUGCGGGAUUCAUUAAGGAAGGAGCCAACCUCACUACAUUCCUAGAUCAAGUUGAUGCAAGGCAGCCUUUCCUCCUUUGCAUUGGAGAGCAAAAAAAGAAAAUCGCAAGGUUCUUCAUUGUUGUGAACCAGAAAGAUAUCCCAUGCAACACUCAGACAUCAGUCGCUGCUUUUGAUGUGCUGUUCAAGACUCACUAUGUCUUCAGCCUCUCCUAUGAUGAAGCACUUUGUACAUUCUACACCGCAUUCCAACAUCGAUGUUGGAACCACAAAGGAAACCCCGCAAGUCAGGGAACUGAGGGCCAAACUACUGCAAGACCAGUAAACCGUCACCAGUUCACAAAGGUCAGAGCACAGUUGAAAAAACUGUCUGGUUAUGUUCACAUGUUUUGUUUGUAAAAAGCACCACAAAAAUUGUUCAGUUCUUUGUCAACAUUUAAAAUUUCAGCGUGGACUAUAUCUAGCUAAAAACUUUGAAAUGUGGAGAGCAAGGAUGUCCUUCAUCUUUUUGUACGUACAAUGACUUCAGGAAGCACCUAAACAUUGUUCAUAAGAACCAUGAUGAACUGGUCGAUACUAACCAGGAAGUGGCCACACAAAGACAUUUUGAGUUUGAAUGUUUCAGGGGUGUCAAACUCAUUUUCACCGAGGGCCACAUCAGCAUAAUGGCUGUCCUCAAAGGGCCAGAUGUAACUUAUAAAAGUACCUAAAUGUAACCAAAUGUAAUGUAAAAUAAAUGUAACUACUCCUUGAUGUUAAAUAUCUCUGAAUUUAGUGAAUGUCCUGUCCCGUUGUAGUUCCAUGCAUAGCAGCUACAUCCAACAGCUCCUCAUUUACAGACAGAUCCGACUUCACGCCUCUAAUAAAAAUUAAUAACUGCGCUGAAUCUGUGCUUUCAUCAACAGCUAAUGAAAAAGCUAUGUAGCUGCGUGUCUCCUCGGCCAGUUGUGUUGCAAGAUUUUCUGCUAGUUCAUGGACUCAGUCCGUUAUGGUGUUUCUUGAUAAACUGACAUUUUUAAAAGUCUGUAUCUGGUCGGGACACACCUGCUCACAGACCUUCAGCAUGCACUGCUUCAAAAACACUACCUCUUAAAAAGACUUUGAAGCGUGGGCGAUUUCUUCAGCCACAAUAAAGCUAGCUUUCGCUGCUGCAUUGUUUUUGGCUGUGGCUUUCGUGAACACAUUCUGCGGCGACCGAAGUUUGUCUUUUAAUUCUUGUGCAAUUUGUUGCUUUUCUUGAAGGCUAGCUUUGCCGUA